AAAGUCGUAACAAGGUUUCCGUAGGUGAACCUGCGGAAGGAUCAUUAAUGAGUUAGGGUCUUCUGGCCCGACCUCCUCACCCGAUGUUUACUUACCAUUGUUGCUUCGGCGGGCCCGUCUCAUGACCGCCGGGGGACCCAGAGUCGGCGACUGAAAGGUCUGUGACUAUCAAAGGUCCUCUGGCCAGUGCCCGCCGGUGGCCAAACUUGAUCAAUUCUGAAAAUAUGUCAUGUCUGAGUACCAAUCUUAAUUAAAAAUAAAACUUUCAACAACGGAUCUCUUGGUUCUG
rnacentral:misc_RNA from 1 species